rnacentral:ncRNA from 1 species
GCAAAGAUAAAAACACGUCCCGGCCGGUAGUCCGUGGAGCGGCGCUAAAACGCCGUCAGUAACCUGCCUCCUUGGUUGUCCGUUCUUUGCA